rnacentral:rRNA from 1 species
AAGUCGAACGAAGCAAUUAAAUGAAGUUUUCGGAUGGAAUUUGAUUGACUGAGUGGCGGACGGGUGAGUAACGCGUGGAUAACCUGCCUCACACUGGGGGAUAACAGUUAGAAAUGACUGCUAAUACCGCAUAAGCGCACAGUACCGCAUGGUACGGUGUGAAAAACUCCGGUGGUGUGAGAUGGAUCCGCGUCUGAUUAGCCAGUUGGCGGGGUAACGGCCCACCAAAGCGACGAUCAGUAGCCGACCUGAGAGGGUGACCGGCCACAUUGGGACUGAGACACGGCCCAAACUCCUACGGGAGGCAGCAGUGGGGAAUAUUGCACAAUGGGCGAAAGCCUGAUGCAGCGACGCCGCGUGAGUGAAGAAGUAUUUCGGUAUGUAAAGCUCUAUCAGCAGGGAAGAAAAUGACGGUACCUGACUAAGAAGCCCCGGCUAACUACGUGCCAGCAGCCGCGGUAAUACGUAGGGGGCAAGCGUUAUCCGGAUUUACUGGGUGUAAAGGGAGCGUAGACGGCGAAGCAAGUCUGAAGUGAAAACCCAGGGCUCAACCCUGGGACUGCUUUGGAAACUGUUUUGCUAGAGUGUCGGAGAGGUAAGUGGAAUUCCUAGUGUAGCGGUGAAAUGCGUAGAUAUUAGGAGGACACCAGUGGCGAAGGCGGCUUACUGGACGAUAA